rnacentral:tRNA from 1 species
CGGGUAGUAGUUUAAAGAGAAUACUGGUCUUGGGUAUCAGCGGUGAGGGUGAAAAUUCCUCCUUCUUGA